rnacentral:rRNA from 1 species
UACGGAGGAUGCAAGCGUUAUCCGGAAUGAUUGGGCGUAAAGCGUCCGCAGGUGGCUGUGUAAGUCUGCUGUUAAAGAGUGAGGCUCAACCUCAUAAAAGCAGUGGAAACUACACGGCUAGAGUGCGUUCGGGGCAGAGGGGAAUUCCCUGGUGUAGCGGUGAAAAUGCGCAGAUAUCUGGAGGAAGACCGGUGGCGAAGGCGGCAUCCUGGACCGGUAUUGACGCUGAGGGCGCGAAAAGCUAGGGGGAGCAAACGGGG